GAUGAACGCUGGCGGCGUGCCUAAUACAUGCAAGUCGAGCGAACAGACGAGGAGCUUGCUCCUCUGACGUUAGCGGCGGACGGGUGAGUAACACGUGGAUAACCUACCUAUAAGACUGGGAUAACUUCGGGAAACCGGAGCUAAUACCGGAUAAUAUAUUGAACCGCAUGGUUCAAUAGUGAAAGACGGUUUUGCUGUCACUUAUAGAUGGAUCCGCGCCGCAUUAGCUAGUUGGUAAGGUAACGGCUUACCAAGGCAACGAUGCGUAGCCGACCUGAGAGGGUGGUCGGCCACACGGGAACGGAGACACGGUCCAGACGCCUACGGGAGGCAGCAGUAGGGAAUCUUCCGCAAUGGGCGAAAGCCUGACGGAGCAACGCCGCGUGAGUGAUGAAGGUCUUCGGAUCGUAAAACUCUGUUAUUAGGGAAGAACAAAUGUGUAAGUAACUAUGCACGUCUUGACGGUACCUAAUCAGAAAGCCACGGCUAACUACGUG
rnacentral:rRNA from 1 species